rnacentral:rRNA from 1 species
CUACGGGCGGCUGCAGUCGAGAAUCUUCCGCAAUGGACGAAAGUCUGACGGAGCGACGCCGCGUGGUUGAUGAAGUCCUUAGGGACGUAAAAACCUUUUAUGAAGGAGAAAGUUUAUUGAUGUUACUUCAUGAAUAAGGGGCUCCCAAUUCUGUGCCAGCAGGAGCGGUAAUACAGAAGCCCCAAGCAUUACCCGGAAUCACUGGGCGUAAAGGGUGCGUAGGCGGCUAUAUUAGUCGGGUGUUAAAUCCUGGGGCUCAACCUCAGAAUCGCAUUCGAAACGGUAUAGCUAGGAGAAGUGAGAGGUGUGCGGAACUCAAGGUGUAGGGGUGAAAUCCGUUGAUAUCUUGGGGAACACCAAAUGCGAAGGCAGCACACUGGCACUCUCUCGACGCUGAGGCACGAAAGCGUGGGUAGCGAAUGGGAUUAGAUACCCCGGUAGUC